rfam:Butyrivibrio hungatei strain MB2003 chromosome I, complete sequence.
GUUUCCGUAGCUCAGCAGGAUAGAGCGUCCGCCUCCUAAGCGGAAGGUCGUGCGUUCGAAUCGCAUCGGGAACA